UAGGAUAGAGGCCUACCAUGGUGGUAACGGGUAACGGGGUGUUAGGGCACGACACCGGAGAGGGAGCCUGAGAAACGGCUACCACAUCCAAGGAUGGCAGCAGGCGCGCAAAUUACCCAAUCCCGACACGGGGAGGUAGUGACAAUAAAUAACAAUACGGGGUUCUUUAGGAUCUCGUAAUUGGAAUGAGUACAAUUUAAAUCUCUUAACGAGGAACAAUUGGAGGGCAAGUCUGGUGCCAGCAGCCGCGGUAAUUCCAGCUCCAAUAGCGUAUAUUAAAGUUGUUGCAGUUAAAAAGCUCGUAGUUGAAUUUCGGGGUUAGUAGGUUGGUCAUGCCUCUGGUAUGUACUGGUCUCACUGAUUCCUCCUUCCUUAUGAACCGUAAUGCCAUUAAUUUGGUGUUGCGGGGAAUUUGGACUGUUACUUUGAAAAAAUUAGAGUGUUUAAAGCAAGCUAACGCUUGAAUACAUUAGCAUGGAAUAAUGAAAUAGGACGUUCGAUCUUAUUUUGUUGGUUUCUAGGAUUGACGUAAUGAUUAAUAGGGAUAGUUGGGGGCAUUAGUAUUCAAUUGUCAGAGGUGAAAUUCUUGGAUUUAUUGAAGACUAACUACUGCGAAAGCAUUUGCCAAGGAUGUUUUCAUUAAUCAAGAACGAAAGUUAGGGGAUCGAAGACGAUCAGAUACCGUCGUAGUCUUAACCAUAAACUAUGCCGACUAG
rnacentral:rRNA from 1 species